CCUACGGGAGGCUGCAGUGGGGAAUAUUGGACAAUGGGCGAAAGCCUGAUCCAGCCAUGCCGCGUGUGUGAAGAAGGCCUUCGGGUUGUAAAGCACUUUCAGUGGGGAAGAAAGCCUUGGGGCUAAUACCCUCGAGGAAGGACAUCACCCACAGAAGAAGCACCGGCUAACUCCGUGCCAGCAGCCGCGGUAAUACGGAGGGUGCGAGCGUUAAUCGGAAUUACUGGGCGUAAAGCGCGCGUAGGCGGUCUGAUAAGCCGGUUGUGAAAGCCCCGGGCUCAACCUGGGAACGGCAUCCGGAACUGUCAGGCUAGAGUGCAGGAGAGGAAGGUAGAAUUCCCGGUGUAGCGGUGAAAUGCGUAGAGAUCGGGAGGAAUACCAGUGGCGAAGGCGGCCUUCUGGACUGACACUGACGCUGAGGUGCGAAAGCGUGGGUAGCAAACAGGAUUAGAUACCGGGUAGUC
rnacentral:rRNA from 1 species